UUUCUAAUAGUUUAUUUAUUAUUAGUAUUACCUGCUCAAUGAAUUUUAAAUAGCCGCAGAAUAUUUACUGUGCUAAGGUAGCAUAAUCAUUAGCCUUUUAAUUGAAGGCUUGUAUGAAAGGUAUAACAAUUUAAUUUCUUUUUUAUUUAACACCUUUCUAAAUUUUAUUAAAUAUUAAAAUAUAUUUAUAAAAAUAUAAGACGACAAGACCCUAUUGAACUUUACUGAAGUUUAGCUGGGGCAGCUAAUUAAUCAAAAUUUUAAUAACAUAUUAUAAUAUAAAUAGACCCAAUACUAUUGAAUAUUUGAAUUAAGUUACCAUAGGGAUAACAGCGUAAUUCAUUUUUAAAGUUCAUAUUAAAAAAAAAGAUUGCGACCUCGAUGUUGAAUUAUUGUUUCAAUUGUAUGCAACAGUAUAAAUUUGUAGGUCUGUUCGACCUUUAAAACAAUACA
rnacentral:rRNA from 1 species